AGGGUUUGAUCAUGGCUCAGAACGUACGCUGGCGGCACGCCUAAUACAUGCAAGUCGAACGAAGUAGCAAUACUUAGUGGCAGACGGGUGAGUAACAUGUAGGUAUCUUCCCUUUGGUGAGGAAUAACACGAGGAAACUUGUGCUAAUACCUCAUAAGUCUUUACGGAGAAAGCUUUAUGCGCCAAUGGAUGAGCCUGCACUUGAUUAGUUUGUUGGUAGGGUAAUGGCCUACCAAGACAAUGAUCAAUAGCUGAUUUGAGAGGAUGAUCAGCCACAUUGGGACUGAGACACGGCCCAAACUCCUACGGGAGGCAGCAGUAGGGAAUCUUGCACAAUGGGGGAAACCCUGAUGCAGCGAUGCCGCGUGAGUGAAGAAGGCCUUUGGGUUGUAAAGCUCUUUCGUCGGGGAAGAAAAUGACUGUACCCGAAUAAGAAGGUCCGGCUAACUUCGUGCCAGCAGCCGCGGUAAUACGAAGGGACCUAGCGUAGUUCGGAAUUACUGGGCUUAAAGAGUUCGUAGGUUGUUAAAAAAGUUGGUGGUGAAAUCCCAGAGCUUAACUCUGGAACUGCCAUCAAAACUUUUUAGCUAGAGUAUGAUAGAGGAAAGCAGAAUUUCUAGUGUAGAGGUGAAAUUCGUAGAUAUUAGAAAGAAUACCAAUUGCGAAGGCAGCUUUCUGGAUCAUUACUGACACUGAGGAACGAAAGCAUGGGUAGCGAAGAGGAUUAGAUACCCUCGUAGUCCAUGCCGUAAACGAUGUGUGUUAGACGUUGGAAAUUUAUUUUCAGUGUCGCAGCGAAAGCAAUAAACACACCGCCUGGGGAGUACGACCGCAAGGUUAAAACUCAAAUGAAUUGACGGGGACCCGCACAAGUAGUGGAGCAUGUGGUUUAAUUCGAAGAUACGCGCAGAACCUUACCAACACUUGACAUGUUCGUCGCGACUUUAAGAGAUUAAAGUUUUCGGUUCGGCCGGACGAAACACAGGUGCUGCAUGGCUGUCGUCAGCUCGUGUCGUGAGAUGUUGGGUUAAGUCCCGCAACGAGCGCAACCCUCACUUUUAGUUGCCAUCAUUAAGUUGGGCACUCUGAAAGAACUGCCAGUGAUAAGCUGGAGGAAGGUGGGGAUGACGUCAAGUCCUCAUGGCCCUUACGUGUUGGGCUACACACGUGCUACAAUGGCAUUUACAAUAGGAAGCAAAACGGCGACGUUAAGCAAAUCCUAAAAAAAUGCCUCAGUUCGGAUUGUACUCUGCAACUCGAGUACAUGAAGCUGGAAUUACUAGUAAUCGCGGAUCAGCGCGCCGCGGUGAAUACGUUCCCGGGUCUUGUACACACCGCCCGUCACACCAUGGGAGUUGGUUCUACCUUAAGGCAAAGGUUAAAAACUUUGACCACGGUAUAGUCAGCGACUGGGGUGAAGUCGUAACAAGGUAACCGUA
rnacentral:rRNA from 1 species